GACGCCCUGGGGUGGACCGACGGACGGCGGAGCACCUUCCCCGGGGAUAUUACUGAUUUUAAAGAAACUUGGAUUGUACGCAGAUCACAAGAGUGCUAACGUCGCAGGACUGACUCCCGGAACACAAUGGGCACGCGAGGAAGGUGUUGCCGCGGGUGUUUCCUUCCUGGUGUGGAACACACGGGGACGCAGCCCUUCCCCUUGGUGAGAGCAGAAGAGGCCCGGGGUUGGCGAACUUAACCAGAGCAAGGACACACUGGAAAGGGGGUGUCGCUGGGUGUGUGCGGAGGUGUCCUCCGUCUCUUCGAGGAAGAACUC